AUUCACUCCCAACACACACACAACUCACAAAUGAAAACUGGGGAGUAAAACAUGGAGAAAAGGGAGGCAUAUAGAUCCCACAGAAAGUGAGGAAUUUGCUGCUCCACCUAGAGGAAACAGUCUGAUUUCUUCUGAGAAGAGGCCUGUUUGUCAAUGUUUUAAAUGCAGAUUUCAGCUACAGAAGCUACACCAGUGACAACUAUGAAUAUGGAUAUGACAACAAGCUUGGAAUUACAAGGUUGACAUCAAUGGCUGUAUUAAUAUGAGACAAGAUGGAAACAUAGAUGGCAUGCAUCUAUGCCUGCUACUUCUUUCACAUGAUUUUGAAUUGGUCAGAGCUCCACAGAAUCUUCUCCAAGGGAUGCCAAUGGUAGAAUGCCUCUUGAUGCUCAUGGGAGCUGCAUUGGACCAGCCUUGUAUCCUUUCCACACACUUACUUGUUUUUCAGGUUUCCCUGGCCAAAAAUGCUGCAUCACUCUGCACAUCUUAAUUCUGUUAGUAAAAAAACCUUUUACCCAUGAAUUUGAAGAACUUUGCAAGUCUGCAUAAAUAUAUUUAUGAAAGUUUGACUGCAGAUUAUAUAAAGAUUCCUCCAUUUUGACACAAAUCAAAUUAAUCCUCUUUGAAUCUUCACUGAAAUGGUGAUGCUAGGCUAAAUAAAUCUCUUUGAAUUCUCAUUAA